ACGGGGGGACUCCUACGGGAGGCAGCAGUAGGGAAUCUUCCACAAUGGGCGCAAGCCUGAUGGAGCAACACCGCGUGAGUGAAGAAGGGUUUCGGCUCGUAAAGCUCUGUUGUUAGAGAAGAACGUGCGUGAGANCAACUGUUCACCCANUGGNGUNAGUUACNU
rnacentral:rRNA from 1 species